rnacentral:rRNA from 1 species
UACGAAGGGAGCUAGCGUUGUUCGGAAUCACUGGGCGUAAAGCGCACGUAGGCGGAUUUGUCAGUCAGGGGUGAAAUCCCGGGGCUCAACCUCGGAACUGCCUUUGAUACAGCAAGUCUUGAGUUCGAGAGAGGUGGGUGGAAUUCCUAGUGUAGAGGUGAAAUUCGUAGAUAUUAGGAAGAGCACCGGUGGCGAAGGCGGCCCACUGGCUCGAUACUGACGCUGAGGUGCGAAAGCGUGGGGAGCAAACAGG